rnacentral:rRNA from 1 species
UACGAAGGGGGCUAGCGUUGUUCGGAAUUAUUGGGCGUAAAGCGCUUGUAGGCGGCUUGUUAAGUUCCGUGUGAAAUCCCUAGGCUUAACCUGGGAAGUGCGCGGAAAACUGGCGAGCUUGAGUGCCGGAGAGGGUCGCGGAAUUCCCGGUGUAGAGGUGAAAUUCGUAGAUAUCGGGAGGAACACCCAGUGGCGAAGGCGGCGACCUGGACGGACACU